UUGCCUGUGCUAAGGUAGCAUAAUAAUUUUUUUUUUAAUUGGGAGGUUGGAUGAAUGAGUUAACGAGAUUACUUCUGUACCUGGCUUGCUUUUUAAUUUUUCUGAGGGUAAGAAAGCCUUUGUGUUUUAAAGGGACGAUAAGACCCUAAAAACUUUGACAUUAAUUUAUGAUAUGAAGUAGGUGUUUUAGCUGGGGCGGUUGUAUUUAUAAAACAAAUAUUAAUAUUACAUAGUGUAUGGUUUUGAUGAUCUUUUUUGGUGAAUGAAGAUAAGUUACUUUAGGGAUAACAGCAUAAUAUUUUUAGAGAGUUCAAAUUGAUGAGAAUGUUUGUGACCUCG
rnacentral:rRNA from 1 species